UGGAGGAAAAGAAGGCUUACUCCCCAGCUGGAGGGAGCCUGUCAUAAUUGGAGGUCUUGGGAGUUGGCAAUAGGCUACGAUGACAAUUUGAAAACCUCACUGGUCUCUGUAGGGUGAUGCUUCAAAGCCCUAAGCAAACAAGGAACUAUAAUGAAACUUCAUGAGUAAUGAAGAGAAAGAGUGGAGAGGAGCACAAAGAAAAACAGUGAAGAAAAAAGCCUUAAAAAAGAAAAAGAAAAGAAAAAAAGAGAAUGAAGAAGGGAGAAAAGAAGCAUCUUUACUUGUACAGCCACAACAGAAAGAACUUCCACUGAAAUUCGGUUGAAUUCAUCAAAGCAUCCCCAAGCACCUGUCUGGACCAAACCUUUAUAGAUGUUUCCAA